GGUUUAUAAAGUCUAACCUGCCCACUGGGAUCAAACUAAAGGGCCGCGGUAUUUUAACCGUGCGAAGGUAGCAUAGUCAUUAGUCUCUUAAUUGGAGGCUUGUAUGAAUGGUUGGACAAGAAGCAAACUGUCUCAAAUACAAUAAUUGAAUUUGACUUUUAAGUGAAAAGGCUUAAAUAUUUUAAAGGGACGAUAAGACCCUAUAAAGCUUAAUAAUUUAGUAUAUAAUUAGAUGAGUUAAAAGUUUAAUAUUAUUUAUAUACUGAAUUAUUUCGUUGGGGCGACGAUGAUAUAAUUUGUAACUGUUUAAAUCUAAAAUACAGAGAUAUUUGUGUGUAAUGAUCCUUGUUGUUGAUUAAAAAUUUAAGUUACUUUAGGGAUAACAGCGUUAUUUAUUUUGAGAGUUCAUAUCGACAAAAAAGUUUGCGACCUCGAUGUUGAAUUAAAAAUUCGCCAUGGCGUAGGAGUUGUGGAGGUAGGUCUGUUCGACCUUUAAAUUUUUACAUGAUUUGAGUUCAAACCG
rnacentral:rRNA from 1 species